CAAUAGCUACUUGCAUCAUUGUAAAUAUGAUGCAAGAUCGACUAUGUCGAAUAAAAUUCUAGGUAGAAUUAUGAUAAUGACAUUGUCUGCCUAUGUGUCUUGACCAAAUUACGUGCCAGCUGUCGCGGUAAUACGUAGAAGACUAGUGUUAUUCAUGUUUAAUCGGUUUAAAGGGUACCUAGACGGUAAAUCAAGCCUAAAAAGAAGGAAAUAAAGGGACUAAUUUACUAGAGUUACUUAUGAGGGGGUAUUAAAGUACUGCUGGUGUAGAGAUGAAAUUCUGUCAUACCUCUUUUCAAUAGAAAAAUAAUGGCACAGGUAUAGGCGAAGGCAUCCCCUUAUGUGAUAACUGACGUUGAGGGACGAAGGCUUUGUGUAGCGAACAGGAUUAGAUACCCCAGUAGUCAAAGCAGAAAAUGAUGAAUGUCAUAGAUUAGAUAUAUAAGUUUAUUCUAUAAAUGAAAGUGUAAGCAUUCCACCUCAAGAGUAAUUUGGCAACAUUGGAACUGAAAUCAUUAGACCGUUUCUGAAACCAGUAGUGAAGUAUGUUGUUUAAUUUGAUAAUCCGCAAAAAACCUUACCACAAUUUGAAUAUUUAUAUUUUUUUUUAUUGUUUUUCUUUUUAAUUAUCUUCCGAUUUUCUAGUUAAAGGAAAACUAGAAGAAAAAGAAAAAAAAGGCAAUAAGAU
rnacentral:rRNA from 1 species